rnacentral:tRNA from 1 species
UCCCUGGUGGCUCAGAUGGUAAAGAAUCUGCCUGCAAUGCAGGAGAUCCAGGUUUGAUCCCUGGGUUGGGAA